GACAAUUUUAGCAUGUGAACAAUUUGACAGGUCAAAUGCUACGAAAACGGUCAGUCCAUAUGUAUCCUCCAAAGCAUGCAAGGAUGUAAAUUUUUUUCAAAUAAUGUUCAGUUUUAAAUGGCGCGAUUACCACAUUUUCCGAACCCUGAUGAAUAAGCUGGACAGUCUUUUCGAAAAUCGUGAACAAUUACGGCGAUGGUCUAGGUUAUCGUUGAGACAUACCCCGGAACAACAUAGGUUAUCGUUGAGACAUACACCGGAACAACAACAAGUUCGAAGGCGGAUCUUUCCCUGGCAGGAAAGUGGACAGAGCUUCGACGGAGCGCGGAAAAGACUUUGUGAUGGGGAAUUGGAAACGGAUAAUGUUCAGGGCUAACAGGACCCCAUAUAUCUGAUCCCCGACAUUUACGCAGCUUUUACGCGAUUUACCUGAUCUGGAACAUGAUGGGGGUUCGCAGGAGCAAAAGUCUGGCAGACAAUCACCAACGGCCUUUUUUCGUUCCGACAUACAGCCCUUUAUGAUAAAGGAUGCGUUAUGGACAGCUGACACGCAGGACUUUGAUGCAAUUCUACCGGCCCAAGUACACUGCUCAGAAUCAAGCCCACCCGAAAACUACUGUUGGGCCGGGAACUUGCUGCUUCACGAGCCGGCGCUCCAGGGACAAGACUGCCCGGAGACAGACCCAGCAGAAUAUGGAACGCUAGAGGGAAAAAGUCACACACCCCCGGUUUCGGCGAUUCGUCACAACAAGCGCCAAAAAAGCCGAGACUCCGCACCGGCGAAAAACGGCACAGACGACCACAUAAAUCUAGAGCUGGGGGAUUCCGGCGCCCCGAGCAUUCCGAAUGAAACACCCAAGAGACCUGUUUUUAAUGACAUGUCAGAUGUUGAUGACCAGCUAUUCUGUGAUGCGGCCAACCUUAUAGACGCAGUCAAUUCUACGGCCUCAAUACCUGCAGCCGAACAAGAAAGGUUUUUCACAUUAUUUUCCAGGGCUUUGAAAUCGAGGAAUGUUUUGCUAUACAAACGACUGGGGGAUUUAAUUGAGAGACAGUACAGAGACGAUAUGUUAUUCUGGCAUAGAACAAUUCCACGCAUGUUAAACAGCA